UUGCUUGGAAGCAGCCAUUCAUUCAAAGAGUGCGUAACAGCUCACCGGUCGAGCGGUCAUGCGUGGAUAAUAAUCGGGCAUAAGUCUGGUACCGAAGCUAUGGAUUGUGUACGUCAGUACACAGUGGUAGGGGAGCAUUCCCCGCGGCGUAGAAUGUGUAGCGUGAGCUAUGCUGGAGCGCGGGGAAGAGCAAAUGUAGGCAUAAGUAACGA
rnacentral:rRNA from 1 species